rnacentral:rRNA from 1 species
GACGAACCGUGCGAACGUUGUUCGGAAUCACUGGGCAUAAAGGGCGCGUAGGCGGCCUGUCAAGUCGGGGGUGAAAUCCGGCAGCUUAACUGUCGAAGUGCCUUCGAUACUGACGGGCUCGAGGGAGGUAGGGGUCGCUGGAACUUCCGGUGGAGCGGUGAAAUGCGUUGAUAUCGGAAGGAACGCCGGUGGCGAAAGCGAGCGACUGGACCUCUUCUGACGCUGAGGCGCGAAAGCCAGGGGAGCAAACGGG